rnacentral:rRNA from 1 species
AUUGAACGCUGGCGGAAUGCUUUACACAUGCCAGUCGAACGGCAGCACGGGGGCAGCCCUGGUGGCGAGUGGCGAACGGGUGAGUAAUACAUCGGAACGUGCCCGGUCGUGGGGGAUAACGUAGCGAAAGUUACGCUAAUACCGCAUACGAUCUGAGGAUGAAAGCGGGGGACCUUCGGGCCUCGCGCGCUCGGAGCGGCCGAUGUCAGAUUAGGUAGUUGGUGGGGUAAAGGCCUACCAAGCCGACGAUCUGUAGCUGGUCUGAGAGGACGACCAGCCACACUGGGACUGAGACACGGCCCAGACUCCUACGGGAGGCAGCAGUGGGGAAUUUUGGACAAUGGGCGAAAGCCUGAUCCAGCAAUGCCGCGUGCAGGACGAAGGCCUUCGGGUUGUAAACUGCUUUUGUACGGAAAGAAAAGGCUCUGGCUAAUACCUGGGGCUCAUGACGGUACCGGAAGAAUAAGCACCGGCUAACUACGUG